rnacentral:rRNA from 1 species
AGAGAGAGACAUGCGCGCAUAUCAAUAAGCGGAGGAAAAGAAACUAACAAGGAUUCCCCUAGUAACGGCGAGUGAAGCGGGAAGAGCUCAAAUUUGAAAUCUUAAAGGGUUUCCCUUUACGAAUUGUAGUUUAAAGAAGUGUUUUCUGUUGAGGUUUUGGUAAAAGUUCUUUGGAAUAGGACAUCAUAGAGGGUGAGAAUCCCGUAUUUGACCUUUACUUUCAACUUUGUGAUACACUUUCAAAGAGUCGGAUUGUUUGGGAAUGCAGUCCAAAAUGGGUGGUAAAUUUCAUCUAAAGCUAAAUAUUGGCGAGAGACCGAUAGCGAACAAGUACCGUGAGGGAAAGAUGAAAAGAACUUUGAAAAGAGAGUUAAACAGUACGUGAAAUUGUCAAAAGGGAAGCGUUUGACACCAGUGUUGUUUCUCUGAAAAUCAAUUAAAGAACUGUUUAUGCUAAGUUGUUUAGACUUUAUCAGCUAACUGUUUAGUUUUGAGCUUUUCUUUAAUGCACUUUCAGUUAACAAGUCAACAUCAAUUUCUUUUGCUGUAAAAAAGCUUGAGGAAGGUGGCUUGAGAUUCGUCUUAAGUGUUUAUAGCCUCUUGCCUAUGCAGUCGGAGAGAUUGAGGUCUGCAGCGUAGAUCCUUCGGGGCUAAAUGCAUUUGUGCUAAGUUAUAGCAUUUUAUAGACAACUUGUUGACUAUGAUUUGUCUUGUAGCUUACUCGCUUAUGUUAUUUUACCUACGCUUAGGAUGUUGACGCAUGAGAUAUACGC